AGUUGGUUGGAGUGGGAGUGAGUUGGGAUAGAGUUUGUGGGUAGGUUGAGUUAGUGUAGUGAAAUAAGCUGAGUCAGGAACAGUUAGGGGCUAGGAAGACAAGUAAAUAUCUGAGAGGUGGUUUAGUGAGUGAGAGCAGGUAGCGGAAGUUAUAGGCAGCCCAUGAUUGUAAUUGACCGAUACCGUUUAUGAAACCACACACUUGUUAAACUGCAAUAAAUAAACAGAAGUUUAUGUUCCAAUUUAAA